rnacentral:misc_RNA from 1 species
CAGACCAAGCCCAGAGAUGAUCUAUUCUCUGCCAGAGCGCAAGUUCUUUUACAUACUUGGCUUGCUGGCCUACUCCUAAGUUAGGUAUGAGUAUGACUGGCUUUUAUACUAUUUGGUACAUGAUCAUCGGGACAAAUCAUUUGGUUCAGUCGGUUCAGUUGAAGAAAUAUACUGUUGACUUGUCUGACUUUGCACGAAUAUUUCCCUUUGCCCAAUCCAUAACUAGUUGGUAGAUAGAUAGGCCAGUCUUUAUCCAAAGAUCUUCCUUAUUGUCUUGCUUUAAACUUAGUCAAAUUUGCGUUAUACCAUCAUAUUUUCAUUUUUUGUUUAGAUUUAACUUGAUAUAUGCAUAUUUCUUCCUCCUCCGAACAGCUAUUAUCUUGAUUCCAUUUUUGUUUGUUUGCAGUUUGACGUUCAUGAUGUGUAAUUUACUCAAGG